CAGCUGAGCUAUCCCGACC
rnacentral:tRNA from 1 species